GACGAACGCUGGCGGCGUGCCUAAUACAUGCAAGUCGAACGCAGUGGGGACGGGUGAGUAACACGUGGGUAACCUCCCAUCAGAUGGGAUAACACUUGGAAACAGGUGCUAAACCGUUACUGCUGGAUGGACCCGCGGUGCAUUAGCUAGUUGGCGAGGUAACGGCCCACCAAGGCCACGAUGCAUAGCGUACCUGUGAGGGGGAGCGGUCGCACGGGGACUGAGACACGCCCCCGACUCCUACGGGAGGCAGCAGUGGGGAAUCUUCGGCAAUGGCCGAAAGUCGGACCGAGGAACGCCGCGUGAGUGAAGAAGGUUUUCGGAGCGUAAAACUCUGUUGUGAGGGAAGCGGUAUCUAACCAGAAAGCCACGGCUAACUACGUGCCAGCCGCCGCGGUAAUAC
rnacentral:rRNA from 1 species